CCUAAGGCGAGGCCGAAAGGCGUAGUCGAUGGGAAACGGGUUAAUAUUCCCGUACUUGGUGUUACUGCGAAGGGGGGACGGAGAAGGCUAUGUUGGCCGGGCGACGGUUGUCCCGGUUUAAGCGUGUAGGUGUGUGUUCCAGGUAAAUCCGGUUCACUUUAACACUGAGGCGUGAUGACGAGGCACUACGGUGCUGAAGCAACAAAUGCCCUGCUUCCAGGAAAAGCCUCUAAGCAUCAGGUAACACGAAAUCGUACCCCAAACCGACACAGGUGGUCAGGUAGAGAAUACCAAGGCGCUUGAGAGAACUCGGGUGAAGGAACUAGGCAAAAUGGUGCCGUAACUUCGGGAGAAGGCACGCUGACACGUAGGUGAAGUGAUUUACUCAUGGAGCUGAAGUCAGUCGAAGAUACCAGCUGGCUGCAACUGUUUAUUAAAAACACAGCACUGUGCAAACACGAAAGUGGACGUAUACGGUGUGACGCCUGCCCGGUGCCGGAAGGUUAAUUGAUGGGGUCAGCGCAAGCGAAGCUCCUGAUCGAAGCCCCGGUAAACGGCGGCCGUAACUAUAACGGUCCUAAGGUAGCGAAAUUCCUUGUCGGGUAAGUUCCGACCUGCACGAAUGGCGUAAUGAUGGCCAGGCUGUCUCCACCCGAGACUCAGUGAAAUUGAACUCGCUGUGAAGAUGCAGUGUACCCGCGGCAAGACGGAAAGACCCCGUGAACCUUUACUAUAGCUUGACACUGAACAUUGAGCCUUGAUGUGUAGGAUAGGUGGGAGGCUUUGAAGUGUGGACGCCAGUCUGCAUGGAGCCGACCUUGAAAUACCACCCUUUAAUGUUUGAUGUUCUAACGUGGACCCGUAAUCCGGGUUGCGGACAGUGUCUGGUGGGUAGUUUGACUGGGGCGGUCUCCUCCUAAAGAGUAACGGAGGAGCACGAAGGUUGGCUAAUCCUGGUCGGACAUCAGGAGGUUAGUGCAAUGGCAUAAGCCAGCUUGACUGCGAGCGUGACGGCGCGAGCAGGUGCGAAAGCAGGUCAUAGUGAUCCGGUGGUUCUGAAUGGAAGGGCCAUCGCUCAACGGAUAAAAGGUACUCCGGGGAUAACAGGCUGAUACCGCCCAAGAGUUCAUAUCGACGGCGGUGUUUGGCACCUCGAUGUCGGCUCAUCACAUCCUGGGGCUGAAGUAGGUCCCAAGGGUAUGGCUGUUCGCCAUUUAAAGUGGUACGCGAGCUGGGUUUAGAACGUCGUGAGACAGUUCGGUCCCUAUCUGCCGUGGGCGCUGGAGAACUGAGGGGGGCUGCUCCUAGUACGAGAGGACCGGAGUGGACGCAUCACUGGUGUUCGGGUUGUCAUGCCAAUGGCACUGCCCGGUAGCUAAAUGCGGAAGAGAUAAGUGCUGAAAGCAUCUAAGCACGAAACUUGCCCCGAGAUGAGUUCUCCCUGAGACUUUAGGUCUCCUGAAGGAACGUUGAAGACGACGACGUUGAUAGGCCGGGUGUGUAAGCGCAGCGAUGCGUUGAGCUAACCGGUACUAAUGAACCGUGAGGCUUAACCUUACAACGCCGAAG
rnacentral:rRNA from 1 species